CGGACGGGUGAGUAACGCGUGAGAAUCUGCCUCCAGGUCGGGGACAACAGCGGGAAACUGCUGCUAAUCCCGGAUAAGCCCUAGGGUAAAAGAUUUAUUGCCUGGAGAGGAGCUCGCGUCCGAUUAGCUAGAUGGUGAGGUAAGAGCUCACCAUGGCGACGAUCGGUAGCUGUUCUGAGAGGAAGAUCAGCCACACUGGGACUGAGACACGGCCCAGACUCCUACGGGAGGCAGCAGUGGGGAAUUUUCCGCAAUGGGCGAAAGCCUGACGGAGCAAGACCGCGUGCGGGAAGAAGGCCCUUGGGUCGUAAAUCGCUUUUCUUAGGGAAGAAGCUCUGACGGUACCUAAGGAAUCAGCCUCGGCUAACUCCGUGCCAGCAGCCGCGGUAAUACGGAGGAGGCAAGCGUUAUCCGGAAUUAUUGGGCGUAAAGCGUCCGCAGGCGGCUUAUCAAGUCUGCUGUCAAAGACUGGGGCUCAACCCUGGGGAGGCAGUGGAAACUGAGAAGCUAGAGUGCAGUAGGGGUAGAGGGAAUUCCCAGUGUAGCGGUGAAAUGCGUAGAGAUUGGGAAGAAACACCGGUGGCGAAAGCGCUCUACUGGGCUGUAACUGACGCUGAGGGACGAAAGCUAGGGGGGCGAAAGGGAUUAGAUACCCCUGUAGU
rnacentral:rRNA from 1 species